rnacentral:misc_RNA from 1 species
GAUGAAGAACGUAGCGAAAUGCGAUAAGUAAUGUGAAUUGCAGAAUUCAGUGAAUCAUCGAAUCUUUGAACGCACAUUGCGCCCCCUGGUAUUCCGGGGGGCAUGCCUGUCCGAGCGUCAUUACAACCCUCAAGCUCAGCUUGGUAUUGGGCCCCGCCGCUCCGGCGGGCCCUAAAGUCAGUGGCGGUGCCGUCCGGCUCCGAGCGUAGUAAUUCUUCUCGCUCUGGAGGUCCGGUCGUGUGCUCGCCAGCAACCCCCAAUUUUUUUCAGGUUGACCUCGGAUCAGGUAGGGAUACCCGCUGAACUUAAGCAUAUCAAUAAGCGGACGA